rnacentral:rRNA from 1 species
GACGAACGCUGGCGGCGUGCUUAACACAUGCAAGUCGAACGGAAAGGCCCUGCUUUUGUGGGGUGCUCGAGUGGCGAACGGGUGAGUAACACGUGAGUAACCUGCCCUUGACUUUGGGAUAACUUCAGGAAACUGGGGCUAAUACCGGAUAGGAGCUCCUGCUGCAUGGUGGGGGUUGUAAAGUUUCGGCGGUUGGGGAUGGACUCGCGGCUUAUCAGCUUGUUGGUGGGGUAGUGGCUUACCAAGGCUUUGACGGGUAGCCGGCCUGAGAGGGUGACCGGCCACAUUGGGACUGAGAUACGGCCCAGACUCCUACGGGAGGCAGCAGUGGGGAAUAUUGCACAAUGGGCGGAAGCCUGAUGCAGCAACGCCGCGUGCGGGAUGACGGCCUUCGGGUUGUAAACCGCUUUCGCGUGUGACGAAGCGUGAGUGACGGUAAUGGGUAAAGAAGCACCGGCUAACUACGUG